GAAGUUGCAUCAUGGGCGUGACAUCACUGCCGCAUGGGUGGUGGCUGGCUCGCGCCGCGUGGGGGGCAUCUUCUU